UUGUUCCUUUUCCCUUCUUGCAACCAAGAGGGCCCAAAUCCAGCCUUUCUUUCCUUGUUUUCUUGUUCCCCUUGUUUCCCUAGAGGAGAGCUGAGAAAGAGUGGAGAAAGCUUGAAAAAAUUCUCCUCCUUGAGCUGGAAAAUUGAGAAACUUGAGAAGCAUAAAAGAGUAGCCCUUACCUCCUUCCAUCUUUUCCCAACAAAUCAAGAAGAGAAAAGCUCCAACAUUCCAAGCUUGUUCCAACCGAGAAAUUGAGUGGUGAGUAAGCAGUUUUGUUACUUUUCUAAGUCUUGAAACCGAGGGGGAAACUUGAGGGGAGCUUGAGGGAUUUCAUCCAUGACCAAUUUCACAACCAAGGGGAAAGUGCUUGAGAAAGAUUGGAGAAACUUUGCUUCAUCCUUGUUGUUGCAGCCCCGAGAGAGAGGAAAAGAUUGGAGAGCUACCAGCCUUGAUUCUUCAAUUUCCAACUUCAAUUUCUUGCGGAAAAAGAGGACUUGAAAGUGGGCGAGAACGUGAGCCCGGUACUGGAAUGUGAAAUUCUCAUUAUAUGGGGUGCGGGGAUAAGAGAGACAAGAAUAGUAAUGGUUUGUAAUAGAGUAUCUUGAGUUUGUAUUUGGCCGACACUGUAUUAUGGUACUAAUCGUUUAAGUUCUUUUCCUUUGGUUUGUACUUUGGAUUGAA